CGAGGGUGCGAACGUUGCUCGGAUUUACUGGGCGUAAAGCGCGUGUAGGCGGACUCGCAAGUCGGUUGUGAAAUCCCUGGGCUUAACCUAGGAACUGCAUCCGAAACUGCUUGUCUUGAGUAAUGGAGAGGGUGGCGGAAUUCCCGGUGUAGAGGUGAAAUUCGUAGAUAUCGGGAGGAACAUCAGUGGCGAAGGCGGCCACCUGGACAUUUACUGACACUGAGACGCGAAAGCGUGGGGAGCAAACAGGAUUAGAUACCCGAGUAGUCC
rnacentral:rRNA from 1 species